rnacentral:lncRNA from 1 species
CCUUCCUUCCUUCCUUCCUUCCUUCCUUCCUUCCUUCCUUCCUUCUUUCCUUCCUUCCUUUUUUCCUUCCCAUAAGAGUUGGUGAAUUCAUAUUAUAAGCCUGGGGAAAGGGAGUAUGGGUAGUAGGCAUUUCUUUUAUUUUAAAAAUUUCCUUGGCAUUCAGCCCUAUACCCCCAAAGGAAGGAAUACAGCUUUCCCUCAUCACCCUUACCAUUCAGCUCUCAGGACCCAGGACUCAGGCUGGUAUUCUGAGUAGUAUAUUUCAGGUAUGUUGUUUGAAUUGAACAGAAUGCUGUGGGCUGGCUGAGAAACAUAACACAUGGAGAUAACUUUGUUUCUGUGAGAAAAUGUGGCCUUGAAUUUCAAAAGACCAUCUUAAAAAGAUAUAUUUGGAACUCAACCUGUUAGAGAGUUAAAAAUACCUACAGUUGGGUUCAAAUUAAUUGGAUUUUUCUGUGUAAAUACUCACAGGGGCUAAAAUGUUCCAAGAGGGGAGGAAUUAGUAUUACAAUGGGCAUGGCGUUCCCUGCUCACCACCUGUUGCUCUUGGAUAUCUUGGAACCCAUGCUGCUGGCAGUGGGCAGACUCUCUGGCCCAGGCUGCUCAGAAUUUGUCCCUGCUGCCUGAUUGCUCACAUAGCUUGGAGUCACCAAUUCUUUCUUCUAAUGAGAUGAAGCCCUCCAGGAUUUACUAUCUGCUCUGCCUCCAUACCCUGAAGCCCUCUGGUACCUGUGACAGGCCUUAGCAUCAGCCCUGUAGCUGACCUUCUAUUAUUUAUUAUCUCCCCAGAAUAAAAUACAAGCUUCUUGAGAGCAGUUAUUGUCUCUUUCUAUUUGUACCCCCAGCAUUUAGUGUAAUGCUUGGUCCAUAGUAAGUGCUUAAUAAACUCCGUGUGUGUGUGUUUAAUUCAUUCAUAGAUAUGUUCUCUCAAUUCUGCUGUGGAGAUAAAGCUAGAGGAACAAAGUUAGAUAAAAUUAGAGGAAAAACAUGUGAAAAUGCUGAUUGGAGUCAAUCUUUGUUGGUGCAACUUGAGAUACCUGUGAAGAUUCAAACAUGUUAAUCAGUAAGGAACUUUAAGAUAUUAUAAACGUGAAUUGAUUUUAAUAACUGGAUGUGCUAACUCUUCUCCCCCUUUCUCUCCCAAGAUAUUACAGAAACAAAGCAUGGUUGGAAGCCAUUUAGUUCAAGCCCCAUCCCUAUCCAAAGGAGGAAACUUGAGGAUCAGGGAGUAGAAGCACUUUUAAAGUCAUACAGUCAUAGGGAAAGAUUUAAGACACCUUUGCUGGCCCCUAAUCAUUUACCAGCUAUAUGACUAUUUACUUCUCUAGACCUAUUUCCUCAUUUGGAAAAAGGAAUUAAGAGCUCUUGCAGUACCCACUUCAAUGGGAUGUGAAAAAUGGUUUAUAAGCCUGUAAGUAAGCCUUUUGGAGAUAGGAAGAAUUCUUAUUGCUGGGACUUUAUCAGUGGAUAGAGUGCUGGACUUGGCAUCUGGAAUACCCGACUUCAAUUCUGGCUUCAGAAACUUACCAUUUGGAAGAAUCCUGGGUAUCACUUGACCUUUCUCUGACUCAAUUAACUCAUCUGUUAAAUGGGAUUAGCAAUAGCAUAGACUUUCCAGAGUUGUUGUAAGCACAAAAUGAAAAAUUUGUAAAAAUACUUUACAAAUCUUUGAGUACCAUAUAAAUGUUAGCUAUUUAUUUUUCUUAAAUAUAUUAUUUUUCUUAAUUUUUAAAAAUCAAAGCCCUGGUUCUAAAAAAAAAAAAAAAAAGCCAUUGUGUACAGGAUUACUGGGUCUGUCUGCUAUUUUGCUGAGCCUUCCUGGUUCUACUGCAUUAUGGGAAAGGCCUUGUCAACCUCCCCUGUGGGUCUCAGGCUUGACAUGAGCAGCUGCUCCUGGAUUUAUCCCACAGAAUGGCCAUUAUGGUUGAUGAAAAUGCUCAGUCUCAAAGCCUUGGGGAGGAAGAAUAGCCCUGGUAAGUCGAGCCUUAAUUAAUGCCAGCGGGAUAGAACUGGGUCCAAGCAGCUCCUGCAAACAGCAAAUGUCUCUAAUGAUGCUCUUAGGAAACCAGGGCUGGGGAUGGAGCCUGCCCUAGAGACAGGGGCUGAGCGUCUCCACGCCUGCCAAGUUGCUUGAAGGAGUUAUAAAUCCACCGAGCACAGAAAACUGGCCUAGAAGGAAAGUCUUAACUGUUCCCCUGAG